GACGAACGCUGGCGGCGUGCUUAACACAUGCAAGUCGAACGGAAAGGCCCUGCUUUUGUGGGGUGCUCGAGUGGCGAACGGGUGAGUAACACGUGAGUAACCUGCCCUUGACUUUGGGAUAACUUCAGGAAACUGGGGCUAAUACCGGAUAGGAGCUCCUGCUGCAUGGUGGGGGUUGGAAAGUUUCGGCGGUUGGGGAUGGACUCGCGGCUUAUCAGCUUGUUGGUGGGGUAGUGGCUUACCAAGGCUUUGACGGGUAGCCGGCCUGAGAGGGUGACCGGCCACAUUGGGACUGAGAGACGGACCAGAAUCCUACGGGAGGCAGAAGUGGGGAAUCUUGCACAGUGGGCGGAAGCCUGAUGCAGCAACGCCGCGUGCGGGAUGACGGCCUUCGGGUUGUAAACCGCUUUCGCCUGUGACGAAGCGUGAGUGACGGUAAUGGGUAAAGAAGCACCGGCUAACUACGUG
rnacentral:rRNA from 1 species